AAAUCAAUAUACUCUUGUAACUAUCUUUUGUCAGUUUAAUGUGAAUGAAACAAAACUACUUCACCUAAAAAAUCUCUCUCUGCCUCAUCACCUCUCAAACCCCAUUUUUCUCGCACCUCCCCGACUCUUUCUUUCGCUCCCCUCGCUGGUAAUUGCCGAAUCUCGCCGGAGCUCUGUUGAUGUUGCGGUUGUUGAUGUGGUUGGUGUGCUAUUGCCCCUGUCGGUCUUGCCUGCGCUGCCGUCGUCGCCGCCUCGAUUUCCUGGUGGUUCACAAAGUACCGAAGGACUCAUGCCCAAUAGUGAAAAACAUACUUUUGCUUGAUUUAGAAGGGAAAAGGGUAGCUGUAAAGUAUUAUUCCGAUGAUUGGUCCACGAAUGGGGGGAAAUUGGCGUAUGAGAAAUUCGUGUUUACUAAAAACCAGAGUACUUGGCAGAGCUCAUACUCACAAGCAUAAACAAGCUGGAGGAGGAGGAAUUUUGAGAUAACAUAGAUUUUUAUUAGGAAGUGUAAUUGAUCUACAUCGUUUUUGGUCUUUGAAACUUUUGUGUAUAUUGAUUGAAAUUUUGAGAGCUAUAUUCUUAAGUUUAUGCACAUGAAUUAGGAACAUGCCUAGGUGCUCUAUUAUUUUUUUAUAUUGAUAUGCAUGUGAUUUUGUAGUGAAUAAUAUUCAAUGAAUGAAAAGGUUAUGCCAAUUAUAAAGUCA